rnacentral:sRNA from 1 species
CCCGCUCUGUCUUGCAGAGUUAUUAAUGCAACAUCAAGUAAAAGUAAGACCUCAGAUUUCCUUCGUUACUGACGAUGACCUCUGUGUUCCCCUUGGCUUAAUCGUAACAUUCAAUAAUUCCAACACUCAGUGCAUUACUCGCUUUAAGCGAUUUUUCAUCGAAUAUAUAUAAGGGGCAUAAAAUGUCUAAGUCUACUGGCAUCGUAAAAUGGUUUAACGAAGAGAAAGGUUUCGGUUUCAUUUCUCAAGACAACGGCGGCGCAGACGUGUUCGUUCACUUCCGUGCAAUCGCUUCUGAAGGCUUCAAAACUCUGGCUGAAGGCCAAAAAGUUUCUUUCGACGUUGAGCAAGGCCAAAAAGGUCCUCAAGCAGCUAACGUAAUCAAGCUGUAAUUGUCGAUCAAAAAAAGCGCAGUGGAGUAAUCCGCUGCGCUUUUU